UGUUCGAUUAUUUUCAGAAUCAAAUCAAACAGAGAUGAUGUCACAUGCGCCGGAGAUUGACUUUAUAACUUCCUGUUUGCAUCCGUAUUAGAGGUUAGAGAGUUAUUAGAGAAGGUUUAUGAGGAUUACAAAAUACCUGUUUACAGUGAGAAGCCAACGACAGCCUCUAGAAGCAGGUAAAUAUCAGAAACACACACAGAGACCAACACACUCAGCUGACGGGUCGUCAAGGUGACUUCACACCAAGGACAUCCUCAUCCUCCUCCUGCACAGCUGAUCUCCAUCACACACUACCCCCCUUUAUCCUGCAUCACAUCAUGGUCCAGCUGCAGUCCAGGUGGAGGCUGCACGCGCUCUGACACUUUGAACUGUUGAACAAAAGGCUCUCCGGUGCAUAUCCGCGCGCAGACACCGAGCUCUCCGCCUUCUGCCUCCGGUAGGACGGAACCCCGGGCGCGUCCCCGAGAGAGAGAGAGCGAGAGAGAGAGAGAGAGAAAGAGAGAGAGCGUGCACGAGGACCGGGUCAGGGUCUGUCAGCGGGGACCGAGCCGAGGAGUGUGCAGAGGAGGGAACCCGGGAUAUAAUAUUUAAUGAGAUAAACAAUAACAUUAAAAUAAAUAGCCUAAAUAUGUUUAUAAUCCAUUAACUAUUUUGUCUCAUAUGUGAUCCUGUUCACGCUCAUUGUUGACUCAUAGUUUGAACAUUUAACGAUUUAAUAAAAUAAAAUAAUCAGG